UACGGGGGGGGUAAGCGUUGUUCGGAAUUACUGGGCGUAAAGGGCUCGUAGGCGGCCAACUAAGUCGGACGUGAAAUCCCUCAGCUUAACUGGGGAACUGCGUCCGAUACUGGAUGGCUUGGAUUUGGGAGAGGGAUGCGGAAUUCCAGGUGUAGCGGUGAAAUGCGUAGAUAUCUGGAGGAACACCGGUGGCGAAGGCGGCAUCCUGGACCAACAUUGACGCUGAGGAGCGAAAGCUAGGGGAGCAAGCGGG
rnacentral:rRNA from 1 species